GACGAACGCUGGCGGCGUGCCUAAUACAUGCAAGUAGAACGCUGAAGAGAGGAGCUUGCUCUUCUUGGAUGAGUUGCGAACGGGUGAGUAACGCGUAGGUAACCUGCCUUGUAGCGGGGGAUAACUAUUGGAAACGAUAGCUAAUACCGCAUAACAAUGGAUGACACAUGUCAUUUAUUUGAAAGGGGCAAUUGCUCCACUACAAGAUGGACCUGCGUUGUAUUAGCUAGUAGGUGGGGUAAUGGCUCACCUAGGCGACGAUACAUAGCCGACCUGAGAGGGUGAUCGGCCACACUGGGACUGGGACACGGCCCAGACUCCUACGGGAGGCAGCAGGAGGGAAUCUUCGGCAAUGGGGGCAACCCUGACCGAGCAACGCCGCGUGAGUGAAGAAGGUUUUCGGAUCGUAAAGCUCUGUUGUAAGUCAAGAACGGGUGUGAGAGUGGAAAGUUCACACUGUGACGGUAGCUUACCAGAAAGGGACGGCUAACUACGUG
rnacentral:rRNA from 1 species